rnacentral:rRNA from 1 species
GACAGAGUUUGAUCAUGGCUCAGAUUGAACGCUGGCGGCAUGCCUUACACAUGCAAGUCGAACGGCAGCACGGGGGCAACCCUGGUGGCGAGUGGCGAACGGGUGAGUAAUACAUCGGAACGUGUCCUGUAGUGGGGGAUAGCCCGGCGAAAGCCGGAUUAAUACCGCAUACGAUCUACGGAAGAAAGCGGGGGACCGAAAGGCCUCGCGCUAUAGGGGCGGCCGAUGGCAGAUUAGCUAGUUGGUGGGGUAAAGGCCUACCAAGGCGACGAUCUGUAGCUGGUCUGAGAGGACGACCAGCCACACUGGGACUGAGACACGGCCCAGACUCCUACGGGAGGCAGCAGUGGGGAAUUUUGGACAAUGGGGGCAACCCUGAUCCAGCAAUGCCGCGUGUGUGAAGAAGGCCUUCGGGUUGUAAAGCACUUUUGUCCGGAAAGAAAACUUCUGGGUUAAUACCCUGGGAGGCUGACGGUACCGGAAGAAUAAGCACCGGUUAACUACGUGCCAGCAGCCGCGGUAAUA